GACGAACGCUGGCGGCGUGCCUAAUACGUGCAAGUAGAACGCUGAAGAGAGGAGCUUGCUCUUCUUGGAUGAGUUGCGAACGGGUGAGUAACGCGUAGGUAACCUGCCUUGUAGCGGGGGAUAACUAUUGGAAACGAUAGCUAAUACCGCAUAACAAUGGAUGACACAUGUCAUUUAUUUGAAAGGGGCAAUUGCUCCACUACAAGAUGGACCUGCGUUGUAUUAGCUAGUAGGUGAGGUAAUGGCUCACCUAGGCGACGAUACAUAGCCGACCUGAGAGGGUGAUCGGCCACACUGGGACUGAGACACGGCCCAGACUCCUACGGGAGGCAGCAGUAGGGAAUCUUCGGCAAUGGGGGCAACCCUGACCGAGCAACGCCGCGUGAGUGAAGAAGGUUUUCGGAUCGUAAAGCUCUGUUGUAAGUCAAGAACGGGUGUGAGAGUGGAAAGUUCACACUGUGACGGUAGCUUACCAGAAAGAGACGGCUAACUACGUG
rnacentral:rRNA from 1 species